rnacentral:rRNA from 1 species
AUGGCAGAAUGCUUCAAUAAGGUGCUCAAGGGUGUACGUGCAUUACCCGUGACGGCAAUAGUUCAAUACACAUUUGACAACUUGAAUGAAUACUUUUUAAAGCACUCAAUGGAGACUGAUAAGCAGAUUGCUGGUGAGAACAAGGAUAAGCACAAGUACAAUUUCCCACCAAAGGUCGAAGAAUGGUUGGAAUUUCAAUCACGAAAGGCAGACUCCAAAGAAGCUGUACUAUAUGACGACAACGAGUGGAAGUAUGAGGUGAAAGAGCCCGGAGGAACCACAAACGAUGGCCGCCAACACGGAGGCCGGGCUUUCAAGGUCUCCCUAACACGGUGUGAUUGCAGCUGCAUGAGGCCAUCUUUGCUUCAUCUCCCAUGCUCGCACUUGUUAAAUGCAUCCCGGGUUAGGAAUGUGGACGUCAAUCACCCUCUUACCGUGAGGGAGUCCGAGUUCUCAAUCAUGACGGUAAAGAAUACAUGGACUCCACGGUUCCAGCCAUACUUGGACCAAUCACAAUGGCCGGAGUAUCAUGGAGUUCAACUAUGGCCGGACCCGGAAUUGAAGAUCGUUAGACGGGGAAGACGUAAGACAAAGCGUCUUAGAGGUGACAUGGACGGAUGGGGCCGUGGUGGUGGUGGAGAAUAA